CAGCAGCCUGACAUCCAAACUCAGAGGGCCUGAACACGGUAAUGUCCUCCAGAAACUAUCCCCAGGUGACCGGACCGUCGCCAGGUGCUCUGUCAGAGGCAGACCUCACUAUCUGCGGAUCUACCACAGUGGGGACUCGAGAGCCGGAGCAGCAGAGUCGAGGGAACGGCGACAGUACAGAAGAAACGAUCCCUCUCUCACAAAUAACCAAACGGUCGAUGUGAGAUAAUAACAGAGCCGAAUACUUUGGAGCUGCUUAUCUAAAAAUACUGCUCUCUGAAGGAGUGUUUGGGAGUGAAACAGCGUCAACCCCUUCAUGAACCAUGUUGAAUGUGGAACAUUUUCUCAAUCAAAACAAAAAGCAGUGAAACCUGCUCUAAACUGCUCUCCAGCCCCUCCCAGCCCCCCCAUCCCCCAACCUCCACUACCUCUACCACAGCAAAUUGUGCAGGAAAGCACCUGAGCGCAGGAGAGUACAGCUUUUAUUAAUCUUUCUUUUUCUCAAUUCUUUGAGUCUGACAGCUUUUAACUGAAUUGUCUGCUCGGGCCCGUGUAGACCCGUGGAGUCCAGACACAGGCCGGUGAACGCUGUGACAUCUCCACUCCCCUCAGCUCUAGUGCUGCUGCCUUCAUCCAAUUUACCAUGAAAGGAAUCCAGACAGUCCCAUAAUAUGUCCCACGACUGCCUCGAUUGAACACGGUCAACAACUCUGGGCCUGGGCUUCACACACAUAACCAGCCGGCUAUCUACAGAGGACCAUUGGCUGCCUGUUACCCCUUGAUAAGGCCCAUUGCCCAGGGAAAGACUGGACAGGUCCAUCUGGCGGCAUUUUAUAGUGAGGAGCGCCCCCUGGUGCCUCUGUGGGCACAGCACAGUUACAGGGGCAAGUGAGUCGUAAACACAUCGCCUGUAACUGUGGUCGGGGGGGGGGGGGUUCUACUGUCAGACACAGAUUACAGCAGUGUUUCCUCUCUAAUUUCACGCAGCAGCGGUGCUUGGGGUGAUAUUUUUGUUGUUUUUUAUUCCACAUCCAUCCUCGUGUCAGUCACAGUUAUCUUUCUAAUGCAGGCGACUGCAGUGAAUAUUUUUUUUCUUCACACACUUUAUCACAAUGAAAACAUGAUUUGUCAGCGUUAGGGCUGUACCUCCAUUUGUUUUGAGGGAAAAUGAGAAAAAAAAUAUAGAGCUAAUUUAAUGUCUCUUUUUUUUUUCUUGCUGUGGUUGUC